AGGACACAUCAUCCAGGUUUAAACAUUUCUAUUUACUUUAGUAGAAUUUAUAUAAGUGACUGUAAUAACGUUUGUAACCAGUAGGAGCAAAAAUCCACAUGGAGUACCGGCUGAAUUCGUGCUUAUUCGUGAGUUUGUGUAAUUACUGAAAGAACUAGGUAGGGUAUUGAAACAUACGAAUAAAUGCAUCCUAAGUGGCAUUCGAAAACCGAACAGAAUGAUGUUAUAUGUAUAUAACCAAAUGAUAGCGUUCGUUAGCUUAGAAAAAGUGAAACAUGCGAGUAGAUGAGGGAAUUAGUCGAAUGGCAUAAUGCAUGAACAGAAAAGAACCGAACGCUGGUUUGAAACGAACGGGGCUCCGCCAUGUAAAGCAAGGGAAUUUGCGGCGGUUGCUUUACGGCGGGCCUGACUUACGUUUUU